GGAGAGGUGGCCGAGUGGUUGAAGGCUCCAGUCUUGAAAACUGGCGUGGUUGAAACAACUACCGAGGGUUCGAAUCCCUCCCUCUCCG
rnacentral:tRNA from 1 species